rnacentral:rRNA from 1 species
UACGGGGGGGGCAAGCGUUGUUCGGAAUUACUGGGCGUAAAGCGUGCGCAGGCGGCUUCGCAAGUCAGACGUGAAAUCCCCGGGCUUAACCUGGGAAUGGCGUUUGAAACUACGGAGCUGGAGUAUGGCAGAGGGGGGUGGAAUUCCACGUGUAGCGGUGAAAUGCGUAGAUAUGUGGAGGAACACCGAUGGCGAAGGCAGCCCCCUGGGCCAAUACUGACGCUGAGGCGCGAAAGCUAGGGGAGCAAACAGG